GUAAGUGACUGUACUUCAAUUAAAUUAAUUAAAAAAGAAAAAAGAUUGGCUUGGUCCCUGAGCAAUGAUGACACACAAAUUUGUGAAGCGUGUCAUAUUUAA
rnacentral:snRNA from 1 species